AUUGAACGCUGGCGGAAUGCUUUACACAUGCAAGUCGAACGGUAGAGGGGGCAACCCCUCGAGAGUGGCGAACGGGUGAGUAAUAUAUCGGAACGUGCCCAGUCGUGGGGGAUAACGUAGCGAAAGUUCCGCUAAUACCGCAUACGAUCUAAGGGUGAAAGCGGGGGAUCGCAAGACCUCGCGCGAUUGGAGCGGCCGAUAUCAGAUUAGGUAGUUGGUGGGGUAAAGGCUCACCAAGCCAACGAUCUGUAGCUGGUCUGAGAGGACGACCAGCCACACUGGAACUGAGACACGGUCCAGACUCCUACGGGAGGCAGCAGUGGGGAAUUUUGGACAAUGGACGCAAGUCUGAUCCAGCCAUUCCGCGUGCAGGAUGAAGGCCCUCGGGUUGUAAACUGCUUUUGUACGGAACGAAAAGAUCUCUCUUAAUACGGGGGACUCAUGACGGUACCGUAAGAAUAAGCACCGGCUAACUACGUGCCAGCAGCCGCCGUAA
rnacentral:rRNA from 1 species